rnacentral:sRNA from 1 species
UUUUCGCCUGAAUAAAAGAGGAUGAGAACCUCCGGAGGCGGUUUGCGCCGGGCGAAGCGAGACAACGUUGCGAACGCAACGGCCCGAAGGGGCUUACGCAGUAAGCCUAAUCCUCUCUCGCCGACCC